rnacentral:rRNA from 1 species
AGAAUCAACGCUGGCGGCGUGCCUAACACAUGCAAGUCGAACGCGAAGACCCCCGCAAGGGGUUGUUAGCGUGGCAAACGGGUGAGUAACGCGUGGGCGACCUACCUCAGAGUGGGGGAUAACCUUCCGAAAGGGAGGCUAAUACCGCAUGACAUCCCAUGUUUGGAUACAUGGACAUCAAAGCCGGGGAUCGUAAGACCUGGCGCUUGGAGAGGGGCCCGCGUCCGAUUAGCGUAGUUGGUGGGGUAAUGGCUCACCAAGGCUCCGAUCGGUA